CUUAGAUUAUGUGCACAGAUGAUUUAUGAGAAGCACUAGAGCGUAACUUGUGUGCAGAAGGCCGGACGGGUCACAGAGGUGACUCCGGUAGAGUGAUAAUGAUAGAUUUUGAGCUCUAGGUUCAACCGUAUAGGGCUAUUAGAGGGCCUACGGUUGAUUACUUUCUUGCACCUGAUAUGAUUAUGUUGAUGCAUUCAUACCUUAUUACUGUUGAGAUGAUGUGGCAUGGCAUAAUUAAUAUGAGAAAUGUUGAGAUGACAUGGCAUGGCAUGAUUGAUAAAGAGAUAAUGUUGAGAUAGUAAAAAUGAAGUUUUGAGAUUAUAUAUGUAUAUUUAUAUUUUACAUUUCUGGGAAAGUAUACAGGUUUUACGGAGAGGGGUUACAACGUUUUGAGAAAUGUUUGGAUUUGGAAAAGAAUUGUUUUACUGACCCACUCAAUUUUGGUUUUGCGCCCCUCCAGGUUCAGGAAUCACAAAGGUGUGGUGACUACGAGGAAUACAGCGGGGUUCUGACAGAUUUGGACAAAAUUAGGACUCACCUUCGGGUGUAUCAACUUAUAAAUUGUAUCUUAAAGCUUCCGUACUGUGCAAAUGGUUACGUCACUCUCACGUGACGGCCAGCAUGCCCUCCUUCGGGACGGGGUGUGUCAGUUGGUAUCAGAGCAUGGUUGCAAUUUUGGACAUUUUGAGAAGUUCUAGUGAAUUCUGUCAGAACUACACCGCCUCGUACCAAACCACGUAGUUAGAGGAACUUAGUCUCCCUAAUUUAGCGGUUUUGGGGGAAACUAUUACUAUGGUGAUUCAGUCUAUUGUCUAAAGGGACAUUUUAAGACGGGUUAUGAGUUGAAUUUGAAUCACCUUAUGGAAUGAUCAACCUGAGGGAACGAAGUGACGGAUUAACCAAUUGGAAAAGAUGUUUCGGAAUAUGCAAGUUAAAGGAAAUUUCCUUCUGACAGGUGGGUCGAGACGACUACCUGGUUUUGGGUAUGAAAUUGUAUCCUGGUGGAAACAGGAAUGUUAAUUGUUGUCACCAGAGGAAUCAGCCGAUUUAAAAUUUUUUAAGGAAAAGUUUAUCCCUCCGGCAUUUAUCGAUGGUAGUAAGCAAGAGUUUGCAAAUGUGAAUCAAGGAAGUUGACGAUAAAGUUAAUGAUUCGUCAUAUCAAGGAUAUAGAAAGAUUCAGAGCUUCGAAAGAAGUGAAGCUAGAGUUAAUUCUUCCAGCUGAGGUUUUAAUGUCGCUGGUCAGAGUAAAAGUGAUGGAUAUACUGGUAAUCCCAGAUAUUUGAGACAAAGUGUCUCGAGUAAAGGAAAUGUACCUUGUGCAGCAGGUACAAAAUUAACACUUUGGGAAAUGUGAAAUUAAUGAAUGUGUUUAUGUGAACAGAGGGGACACAGAAUUGUGAAUCGUCCCUAGAAUCAGUUGUACUCAAUAAUUUUCCAUGAUAUCAUAGUGUCGAUUCAGCAGGUUUAUGGACUUAAUAGUUUGGUCAGAUUGACCGUGGGUACAGAGAGAUUUGAUGAGUUAUAUGUUCAGCCGUACAGACCACGAGAGGUGGAUUUGACUGACACAUGAGAAAUUGGUGAGUUAUAGGCUCGGCCGUACCGACCACGCGGAGUGGAUCUGGCCGACGCAUUAUUGAGGUAAUUGUUGAAUCAGCCGUACAAGUCAUUCUAGUUGACUCUGGCUGAUAUAUAUAUAUUUUAUUAUGAUUGAUAUUACCUAGAGAGUAGUAAAUAAAUGUAGUUGAGACGAGUGUAUGUAUUUUGCAUUGAGUGACAAAAUAGUAAUGUUAUAUCUUUGAGAGUGGUUGCCUACUUAUCGAGACAACGAUGAUUUAUCAGUAUUGCGGGCUGCAGACCGUAAUAUUAAUAACUCAUUCGUGGAUUCGUUAAGCAAGCAACUCGGUAGAUUAUUUUAUGUUAGUAUUGUACUUAUUGGAAUGCUUAAUAAUAAUAGAAUAUAUAUUGUAUCAGUUAAUUCUGUUCCAUUAGAUUGGUUGGUUAUAAUUGUGACAAGACGAAAUGUUAUGGGAAACCAGUACUUUCCAUCGAUCUGGAUGAACAGAGAUUACUUUUGUAAGUAUGCAAAAUGGAUUGAGUCAGGCUGUUAUUUAUGCUGUGAGAGCAAAGAGAUUGUUUUCGAAGACUGUCAAAAAUACUUAGCUCAUGUGGUGCUAAAUGAUGUUGUUUGGAGUAGUGUGAAUAAUGUCGAAAGAGUUAGACUUUUCUUGAUGUCUUCCUUGAAAGUAUACCUGGAUUGCCUUCAGGCAGAGAUAUGAGGUUCAUUAUUGAUUUGUUGCCAGGUAUAAAUUUAUAUUGGAGAUUGGUUCAGGAUGAGUUAUGGGAAUUGGAAAUUCAGUUGAAAGAAUUGGUUGAUAAAAGUUUCAUUCAACCUAGUAGAACACUUUUGAGGAGCCCCAGUUUGUUGGUGAGGAAGAAAAUGGAUCUUGAGACUGUUCAUUGAUUAUAGACAAUGGAGUCGGGUAACGAUUGAGAACCGUUACCCAUGGUGAUGUACUGAUGUUUAUUUAACCAGCUCAGAAGUAAUUGCGAAGAUUCAAAGAUUGAAUUGAGAUCUGGUUACUACCAAUUGAAUAUUAUAAGUGACGUUGAUCAUAAGAUGGUUUUCUGGACUCGUUAUAGUCUUUAUGAAGUUUGGUGAUGCUAUAUGGAUACUCAUGCUGUUUUAUGAGUUGAUGGAUGAAGUAUUCCAAUAAUGCCUUGAUAAAUAGAUAUCAUUUUCAUUGAAGAUAUUCUGGCAUAUUCUGAGCCAGAUCAGAGCAUGUAAACGUAUUAAGUCGGUGGAACAAAGAUUGGAAGAAUGUCGGUUGUAUGCUAAGUAGCAAAUGCUAAAGUUAGAUGAAUCAGGUGGCAUUCUGAGAUUUGUUAUAUAUUCUUAAGGUAUUCAAGUGAAUCCUUAAAAGAUAGCAGAAAUUGAGGAAUUAGAACAACCACGAACUGUAAUUGAGAUUCGGAAUUUCUUAGCUUACCAGGCUAUCUUGGAUGGUUGUGAAAGAUUUUUCAGUCAUUGCUUUGUCAUUGACGAGACUGUUGAGAAAAGAGGUUAUGUAUGAGUGGGAAGGAAAUUGUGAGCAAAGGAUUCAACAACUGAAGUAUUUCCUCACUCAUGCACGUAUUUUAGUAAUCCUAGAAGAUAGUGGUAAUCAUAAAUUUUUAGUGAUGUUUCUUGAAUGGUAUUGGAGGCAUGUUGAUGCAAAUAUUAGGGUGAUUGUAUAUGUUUCACGACAAAUGGAACCUCAUGAGAUGAAUUACCCUACUGGUGAUUUGGAAGUCACGAUUAUCAUCCUUGCUGUGAAGUUAUGGAGACAUUAUAUGUUGAUAGAAUGCAAGAUUUUACAAAUCAAAAGAGUCUCCAAUAUUUGUUUACUCGGAAGGAUUUUGAUAUGAGGCAACAAAGGUGGAUUGAAUUACUUAGUGAUUAUGAUUGUACGAUCAGGGUGAUCGUGAAUUGUUGUAGCUGAAGCACUUGAUGAGAAGACUCCAGUAAGAAUUAAUGCUUGGUACGUUUGCCAAGAGUAUCAUCUUGUGGAUUGAAAACCAAUGGAAGAAAAAUUAAAAAUGGAAGAUCGAGAAGAAGUUAUACUUGUUAAAUUUCAAGUUAAGUCUAUUUGGUAAGGUCGUACUCGAGACUCAAAUGCUUGACGAAGGAAUUCAAGAAUUAACCGAGGCAGAAUUGGAUGGUAUGUUUAUGCAAGAGAAUGGGACGUAUGUGCCAAAUUAUGUGGAAUUAAAGAAAGCAAUUUUGACGAUGUACACUGUUAAGUUUUUGGGUAUGUUGGUUACUUCUAAGUUUUGGAUAGCGUAUAAGAAGCUUGGUUACCAAGUUACCUUAUAGUACACCUUUGUGUUGGACAGAAGUUGUCAAAAGAGUUCUUACGGGCCCUGAGACUAUGGAUGAGUCUCCUCAAAAUAUUCAGGUGAGUAAGUUAACCUGAAAGUAGCCAGGAAUGACAAAAGAGAUUAACAGAUGGAUAUGCCACUAAUCGAGUGUAUAACGUAGAUGAUUUUAUAUUUUUGGAAAUUUCAUCAUGAAAAGAAAUAGUAAGAUUUGGAAAGUAGACAAGAUAAGAUUUAAACACAUCAGACCGUUUUGAUCAUUAAAAGAAUCGAUGAAGUUGCAUACAAGUUUGUGAUGCCUUCAGAAUUGGCUAAGGCACAUAAUGUAUUUUGUGUUCGAUGCGUUGUCACUAGGUGACAGAUUUGUCACAUGGGAUUAUGGUGUAACUAUUGAGAAUUAAAUUGGAUUCGACUUGAUAAGGAACCAAAGACGACUUUGGAUUGGAAAAGAAGGUCCUGAGAAUUAAGACAGAGUAAGCAGUAAAAGCUUUGUGAAGGAAAUCAUUCAGUAGAAAAGUAUGUGGGAGAAAGAGAAUCAGAUGAGAAAGAUUUAUCCGAGGCUAUUGUAUGAGUAUAGAUGAUUUGGUUGGUUGCUGGAAUUUCGGGGACGAAAUUCUAUAAGGAGGGGAGAUUGUCACAGCCCGUCCCGGAAUUUUUAAUUCCGAGGACGUGAAAUUACAAAAACGCCCUUAAACGGGAUUAAGGUGCGUAAUUUUGGUGUUUGUUUUACUUAAAAUUUCUAAGCUAUUGUUGUGUUGGACUUUAGGUAGGGUCCUAUACCCUAAUUUCCUCCCCAUUUUUCGUAACCUUUCCUUCUCUUUCUUCUUCUUCCAUUUCAGAUCUCUCUCUCUCUCUCUCACCCUCUCGAACACACGGCAACCACCAAGAACCACCACAAUCUUGUACCAACGUUCCAUUUAAGACCACCAUCGUGAUCCUGGGGACUUCACGAGCACGGGGAUACCAAUUUCAGGUGAGUUUCACUUCGAAAACCCUAGUUCUAAAGUUGCCGUGAGAUGACACUGUUCAUGAGCUUUGAAUUGGUUACGUUUUAGGCUAAAACAAGAUCACAACGAGUUUAUUAAGGUCCCAAGGAAGCUUGGAGUGCUUCGUUGGAAGUUUUUGGACGUAAGAACACGGAGAUCGACAAGUUCAAAGUUUGGCCGGAGCUUUCGAGGCGUUUUCCGGCGAAUCCCUGGCGAGUUAGGAGUCGAGGUAGGUAUCAAUCUCUUCGUCUCGUCAAGUACUACAACUUUCCUUUUUGUUUCACUCAAUUUCGUUGAGUAUUGAAGAAGUUAUACUCAUUUGAAAAAUACCCAGUUUCCGGCGACCUCCGAGGCUUUCGAGGCAGUUUCCGGCCAAACUACGGCGAACUAGGUGUUGUGCAAGGUACCAUUCUCUUUGUCUCUUCAAGGGCUACAACUUUAGUUUUUGAAUCACUUGAUUUCGUUGAGAAAUGACAAAGUUAUGGCAAUUUGAAAAACUGCCCGGAAAACGGCCGCCGGAAAAACCAGUCCGGCGACCCAAGGAAGAAGAAGGUGCUACAGUAAAAAUAAAAAAUAAAAAUAAAAUUAUUUUAAAAAUAUGUCGACGUCCGUGACGUCGAGUAGAUCACUGUGGUAUAUUCAUAUACCUAAAUUGAACACCGUAUGAGAAAGUUAUUGAGGAUUGUUGGUUAGGUGUUCAAAUAACGUUUUAUAAUUUUCACAUUAGGUGAAAAUGUGAAUUGAUGAUCCGACCGUUGGAUCAUCACCAAACUUUGAUACGUUGCAAUACGUAAUAUUUGAGGAUUAUUGGAACUUACAGAUUGGGAAUCCGAUUUGCGGAUCUUCCGGAAUUGGAAUUGUAAGUCCAUAAUAUAAAAUGUUAACCGUCACUUAGUUUUGGAAAUUGACGGAGAUCCGACCGUUGGAUGGUAAUGAAAUUUUAGGAUGUUGUCCUAGAGGUAUAAUGUGGACCUCUGGAAGUUAUGGAUUUAAAAUCUGAGGGGUGGAUCUUCCGGAUCAAUCUACGUAGUGACGUAUUUUAUAUAAGUUAUAUAUUCUAUCGAUAUGAAUUCUGAGGUUGGAUUUGAUUACUAUUCUAGGCGGCGAUCGUCGUGACGCCUUGAUGUGUGGUGCUAGGGAGUUGUUGGACGAAACUCCAGGUGAGUGGGCAGUUUUGUUUUCCGUAUAUAUAUAUAUACUUAACGUUUUCCCAGAAAUUGAAAAUGCAUGAAAUUAUGUUUAAAAUGAAAUGCAUAUGAGUUAUGUGGAAAAACGGGAAGUGAAAUACCAUGCAUAGAAUUGAUAUGAAAAGUAUAUAGAAAUGUGAGUUGAAAUGCCAUGCAUGAAUUAAUAUAUGAUGCUUAUGUAUGAAUUGGUGCGGUGGACGCACAGGUAAGAAUUGAUUUAUGAUGCAUAUGUAUGAAAUGGUGCGGUGGACGCACAGAUGAGUAUUUAAUUACUGUUAUGAUGAUGAUGAUAUAUAUUGAGCUCAAAUCCUGCACCAUGGUUUAGUGCUUAUAGUAUUCACCGCAUCGCACACGCUCGCCUUGGAUCCAAGUAGAUGCUAGUCGUACAGUCCACGCGGAGUGGGUACGACAGACCAGUCGCGAGAGUGUUAGUGAGAUUCCGACUGGUGGGUGACCUUAGAUUAUGUGCACAGAUGAUUUAUGAGAAGCACUAGAGCGUAACUUGUGUGCAGAAGGCCGGACGGGUCACAGAGGUGACUCCGGUAGAGAGUGAUAAUGAUAGAUUUUGAGCUCUAGGUUCAACCGUAUAGGGCUAUUAGAGGGCCUACGGUUGAUUACUUUCUUGCACCUGAUAUGAUUAUGUUGAUGCAUUCAUACCUUAUUACUGUUGAGAUGAUGUGGCAUGGCAUAAUUAAUAUGAGAAAUGUUGAGAUGACAUGGCAUGGCAUGAUUGAUAAAGAGAUAAUGUUGAGAUAGUAAAAAUGAAGUUUUGAGAUUAUAUAUGUAUAUUUAUAUUUUACAUUUCUGGGAAAGUAUACAGGUUUUACGGAGAGGGGUUACAACGUUUUGAGAAAUGUUUGGAUUUGGAAAAGAAUUGUUUUACUGACCCACUCAAUUUUGGUUUUGCGCCCCUCCAGGUUCAGGAAUCACAAAGGUGUGGUGACUACGAGGAAUACAGCGGGGUUCUGACAGAUUUGGACAAAAUUAGGACUCACCUUCGGGUGUAUCAACUUAUAAAUUGUAUCUUAAAGCUUCCGUACUGUGCAAAUGGUUACGUCACUCUCACGUGACGGCCAGCAUGCCCUCCUUCGGGACGGGGUGUGUCAUUAUACAACAUUACUUAAUUACUUAAAAAAAUUAACAUGUAAUUGUUAACAUUACUUAACUACUUACAAAAAUUAACAUGCAAGUAUUAAUUACUUAAAAAAAUUAACAU
rnacentral:lncRNA from 1 species